rnacentral:lncRNA from 1 species
UCAGCUACGAAUAUGUCACCCAAUACCGCUGAAGCUCUUAUAUGCAUGCAAGCAUGGAGUCCUGCUGAUUUGCUUGGUAAUAAUCCAUUUAUUUCAGUCAUGAAUUAUGAAUUACAUCUCAUUUACUUUGAUUUUCUUCUUACUAAAUGUAGAAUAACUUUGCUUUAGAUAAUGUCACUUCCGAUCAAUUUGCGAUUCAGUUUGUUCUUGAAGAUGAAGGAGAAGUUAUGGUAACAUUACAGUGCUGCCAUUUACAACUUAUCAUAUACAGAUGAUGUUAUUGAGUACAUUCUUAAACUUUUUAUUUCUUUUGUAGGAGGAAUGUGAAUGUGAAGUCACCAUUGGUGACUAAAAUGAGCAAGUGCCUCUACUUGGUUGUUAACAUUGAGGCAUGGGCGUGCAUUAGGGAUCAUGCAAUGUUGUUUGGUCGAUUAGUCUUAGCAUUGCAAGUUUGAAAACUUUAAUUUGUUUUCAAUGUUAGUUUGUAAUGGAGAUUAAGACCUUUAAUUAUCUGCCAAUCGUCAUUGUAAACUUUUGUUGCAGCUGCAAACCAGAUUGUGAUGGCCGAGUACCUAA